ensembl:lncRNA
UUUUUUUUUUUUUUUUUUUGAGACACAAUCUCACUUUUGGCCUGGCUGGGGUACAGUGAUGUGGUCUUGGCUCACUGCAACCUCUGUCUCCUGAGUUCAACCAAUUCUCUUCCCUCAGCCUCCCAAUUAGCUGGGAUUACGGGCACACACCAUCACUGUGGCUAAUCUUUGUAUUUUUAGUAGAGAUGGGGUUUCACCAUGUUGGCCAGGCUGGUCUCAAACUCCUGACCUCAAGUGAUCUGCCCGCCUUGGCCUCCCAAAGUGCUGGAAUUACAGUCAUGAGCCUCCAUGCCUGGCUGACCUACAUUUUUAAUGGAGCAAUCAUACAUGGUAUUUUAUUUUUAAUAUCAGCUUUCAUGUGUAAAUUGCUAGUGUACGGAAAUAUGCAAGAUUAUUAUUUUUUUGAGACAAGGUCUUACUCUGUCACCAGGGUAUAGUGCAGUGGAAUGAUGUCAGCUAAGUGGAACCUGUGUCCUGCAGCCUUAAGUGAUCCUCCCACCCCUGCUGCCCGAGUAGCUGAGACUGCAGGUGUGUGCCACCAUGGCCUGCUAAUUUUCGUGUUUUGUAGAGACAGGGUUUUGCCAUGUUACCCAGGCUGGUCUCAAACUCCUGCACUCAAGCGAUCCACCUGCCUUGGCCUUUCAAAGUGCUGGGAUUACAGGCGUGAGCUGCCAUGCCUAGCUGAUGAAAUAUACAAGAUUGCUGUAUGUUGAUCUUACACCUUGCCACCUUUACAUUUUUCUUGUUUAGAGAUUUUUGUAGAUUUUUUGGAAUUUUCUACAUAAAAUUAUUUCAUCAGAUUCUUACUGCUACCCCACAGUGAUUGGCUUAAAACAAAGAUUUAUUCUUUCACAAUUCUGUAGGUCACAUAUCUAAUAUGAGUCCACAGUUCUGUGAUUCUUCAUGAAUCUCCAGGGAAUAAUUUAUUUCCUUACCCUUUAUAGGUUCCAGAGGCCACUUACAUCCUCUGACUUAUAGUCCACUUCCUCCCUGUUUUUUUCUGAGACGUUUCACUCUUGUGUCCCUGGAUGAAGUGCAGUGGCGUGAUCUUGGCUUACUGCAACUUCCACCUCCCUGAUUCAAGCGAUUCUCUUCCUCAGCCUCCCGAGUAGCUGGGACUACAGGCACACCCAGAUAAUGUUUUGUAUUUUCAGUAGAGACAGGGUUUCAUCAUGUUAACCUGAAGGGGUGGCCUUCCCCUCCACACCUGUGGGCAUUUCUCGUUAGGUGGAACGAGAGACUUGAGAAAAGAAAUGAGACACAGAGACAAAGUAUAGAGAAAGAAAAAGUGGGCCCAGGGGACCGGCACUCAGCUUACAGAGGACCCACGCCGGCACCAGUCUCUGAGUUCCCUUAGUAUUUAUUGAUAAUUAUCUUUACCAUCUUAAAGAUAAGGGAGUGGCUGGACAAUAGGAUCAUUGUAGGGAGGAAAUCAGCAGUAAGACAUAUGAACAUAAAUCUCUGUGACAUAAGUUUAAAGGAAAAUGCUGUGCCUUGAGAUGCAUAUGCAAACAUCUCCAUAAACCUUUCAGCAGCAUUGUUUCGGCCUAUCACAUGGGGAGAAACCUUGGACAAUACCUAGCUUUCCCAGGCAGAGGUCCCUGCGACGUUUGGCCAUGUACGUGUCCCUGGGUAGUUGAAAUUAAGAGAAUGGUGAUGACUUUUAACCAGCAAGCUGCCUUCAGGCACUUGUUUAACAAAGACACAUCCUGCACAACCCAAAAUCCAUUAAACCUUGAGUCACCACAGCACAUGUCUCUUGCAAGGACAAGGUUGGGGGUAGGGUCACAGAUUAACAGCAUCUCAAAUACAGAACAAAAUGGAGUCUCAUGUCUACUUCUUUCUAUAUAGAUACAGUCACAGGCUGAUCCUUUCCUUUCCCCACAUUAACCAGGAUAGUCUCGAUCUCUUGACCUUGGGAUCCGCCUGCCUCGGCCUCCCAAAGUGCUGGAUUACAGGCGUGAGCCACAGCGCCCGGCCUGCUUCCUCUAUUUUUAAAGGCGAGAUAAAAUUGGCUUUAUCUUUCUAUUUGCAACAGAUCACCACUGUCCCUCAGGGUUUACCUGCAUCCUUC